CCUACGUGUGGCAGCAGUGAGGAAUAUUGGUCAAUGGGCGUAAGCCUGAACCAGCCAAGUAGCGUGAAGGAUGACGGUUCUAUGGGUUGUAAACCUCUUUUAUGAGGGGAUAAAGUGCGGGACGUGUCCCGUUUUGUAUGUACCUUAUGAAUAAGGAUCGGCUAACUCCGUGCCAGCAGCCGCGGUAAUACGGAGGGUCCGGGCGUUAUCCGGAUUUAUUGGGUUUAAAGGGAGCGUAGAUGGGUUGUUAAGUCAGUUGUGAAAGUGUGCGGCUCAACCGUGAAAUUGCAGUGGAUACUGGCAGUCUUGAGUACAGGUGAGGUAGGCGGAAUUCGUGGUGUAGCGGUGAAAUGCUUAGAUAUCACGAAGAACUCCGAUUGCGAAGGCAGCUUA
rnacentral:rRNA from 1 species